UGCCAAAUAAAUCAAUUUUUUAUUCUGGCUUGGUGGGAAAUUUGCCGGCCCUUCCCCUCCUUCCCUUCUAAUCAAAACAACAUUUUGCCCUAGCCCUUUUUCAGACUCUGCAGUGCUUCACCACUCCUAUAAUGUCAUCCCCCUUCUCUACGGCGGCUUACGAAUUUCGUCCGUGAUUCUUCUCUCUCCGAGCAACGGAUAAUCCCACUCUCACUGCUUUCAAGUGUGCUUCACCUCUUUAUUUUUCUCUUUUGCUUUUUCCCCCUCUAUUUCUUCAUCUCCCCCACCUUCUGUAACUUGCAUUUGUUGUUGUUUUGUCUUGAGACUCUCAAGCGAUUUUGGGUAGGCUUCAAAAGCUAAAACCAGUUUUGGCAAAGUUAUCAGUUUUUUUAUGAAGAACUUCGAACCCACAUCCUCAACUUUGGUCAAAUCCCCAAACAUUGCACUACAUAGCGCCCAAAUCCCUAAAAUUUUUGUCUCCCAUCCAACAGAUCCCAUUUCAAUGUUAGAACCUUCCCAUUUUUUUAUUUUUUAUCUAUUCUGUUUUCUGAUCUUAUCCACCAAUUCAGAGAAUUUUAGAGUAAUUUGUACUUCUUUGUUGAAGUAAUAAGAGAAGUAGAAAAAAUAAACUAUUUUAAUGCCUAGUCUUCAUAACUUUUGAUGAUUUUCCAAUUGGAGUUUUAGUUAUCUCUUUUGUAUUCAUGUGGACAUUUAUAAAUUUUUAUUUUUAACUUUUCUUUUGCUAGUUGUCUUUUUUGCACUGAUAUCUCUUCAACUGUAUUUAAUCAUUAGGUUCACCAUGUUUACUCAGUGAUUUGUCACCAGAAUUUGAAGCCAAUUAGUGAAACAUUCAGGCUUAUGAUAACUUUAUGCAUCAAAAUGAAAGAUGUAAAGUUUUCACUUAUUCCCCCCUUUCCAUGUGUGCAAACACAUAUGCCUUGGUUUCUUUUUACUGAGAACUAAGUUUGAUAAAUAAAUCAUGCCUCAAUAUAAUGUUAUAUACUCCUUUUAUUGUAGUUUGAUGGUGCAUAUGGAAUGAUUAAUGAUUUGGAGAAAAUGAAUUUGAAGCCAACAGCUAACAUGUACAAUGCCAUACUGGGAGGGUACUGCAGAGACGUAGUUUCCUUUGUUUCAUCGGAGGCUUUUGCCGUUCCUGUGUUUGUGCAUUUGAUUGUUUAUGAAUGCCCACUGCUUUUUUCUAAUGUUAUUUGAGAAUUAAAGACUAAAAAGUUUUGGUUUUCUUUUAUGCGAUUUAUUCUCAUAUUCAUAUUAGGAGGUACUUUAGAGAGGUAGUUUCCUUUGUUUCAUCAGAUGGUUUUGCCAUUCCUGUGUGUGUUGCACUUGGUUGUUUAUGAAUGCGCACUGCUUUUUUUGUGAUGUUAUUUGAGAAUUAAAGACUAAAAAGUUUUGGUUUUCUAUUAUUUGAUCUAUUCUCAUAUUCACUAUCGUAUUGACUUUCCUAUUGCGUCAAGAUUUGAAAGAAGAGGGCUUUCCUUUCAUUUCAAAAUGUAUUACUUGUUUUAUCUUCUUACCUCUAUGCCCUACCCCCUCCUCCUUCUAUGUAGUAAUCAACACCAGAUAGAAAGUUCUUAGGAAAAUUGAAAAUAACAUACUGUUUGCUAUGAAUGGGCACUGUUUGUUAAGAUUAAGGCUUUUUUUGCUUUUAAGUUGAGUUAUAGUGUCUUCGAGUUGCACGGUUUGUUCAAGCUAUGAUGAGGCUUCAUGUAGCUUAUGUAUGACCUCUAUAAUUGUAAGAUAAGUAUUGGUUUGUAGCUUAGUAAUACUUCCCAUAGUUGCUGGUAUAAAAAGUUGUUUGAUUAUCAGAGAGGAGCAUGGCUAUUAUAUUAGAUAGUUUCAUUGAAUGGUAGCAUACAAUCCUAAAAGGCAAGCUGUGAAACCGGACUUGCCUUUGCUUCCAUCUUAUUAUGUUUCAUUGUAAAUUGUAUUGAUGUUCAUGAUGAUGAAAAAUGUGCAUUGAUAAUUAUUUAAGCUUUAGAUUGAUGGUGGUUUGCAAUCCUAGCAUUCCAUGAAUCUUCAUACUCUUCUUAAUGGAACACUAUGUAAAGAAUAUAUAUGGUGCAAAGAGGGUUCUCAAGCAAAUGGAAGAAGCAGAUUUAAAACUAGAUUCCUUGACUUUCUGUUAUUUACUAAGCAUCUGUGAGUCUGAAGAAGAUAUCAAAAAGGUGCUUGAAAAUCCAUAUUUCAGCCAAAGUUUCUUGUCUAACUUAUAGUCAAAAUUGCAAAGUUUUAUUAAUUUUACUUUUGGUUGUUCAUCCAAUGUUUUAUUACUGAUUUAUUAUUAUUAUUUUCUAACAAAGAGCGAGGAAAAUCCUAAACAUCUUGAGUGAAAGUUGAUUCUUAUGCAACAUGAACAGUAGUAAUGAGUCCAAUAUAAAAUACAUAAAAAAUUAAAAUUAUUACACCAUACAAAAAUUAAUAAUUGGAAGCUACAUUCCAGUGGAAAUUGAGUCUAAGAAAAUGAUUUUUUUCCCCUUCAGUUGUCUGCAAAGAAUACUUAGAAAGAGAGAGAGAGAGAGAGAGAGAGAAGCGAUUUUUCUCUACUUUAGACUGAUCAGAAAUGUUUUGACAUGCAUCAGUUAUUCAAUCAGUGAUUAUAUAUCAAAGAACAAUUUUGUAAAAUUGCUUUUUUGAUUUUAUUCAUUUAUUUUUUUCCCUCUUUCAUGUAAAUUAUAUCUAACUCUUACCUUUUCCUUAUCAAUUAAAGCUUACCUUGGAUAAAAUUUAUCUUAAAAGAUGUUGAUCUGCAUAUCUGUUUGUAGUACCAUGAAGAGAUGAAGUGUUCUGGAAUUGAUGAUAUGAAGCAUGUUUUCAUGGCACUUAUAAAUGCUUAUGCAAGUUUUGGACAGUUUGAGAAAGCAAAACACGUAUUAGCCAUUUGGCAAAUUGAUUAAUAGUAGUUUCAGAUAAGGGUAUUUCUGAUAAAAGCUUGAAUGAAAUUAAUAGUCCACAUGCACAAGCUCUUUUUGAAAAUGGACAGUGGUUUGAUGCACUUGAUAUAUAUAAACAGAUUGGAUCUGCUUUGGAGCCCAAAGCUGUUAUCAGUCUUAUUGUAAGCUCUUUAACUCAGUGGUCUAUGUUUUGUCUUGGAAACAGAAAUGACAUGCUCAUACUCAUUACUUAGGAGCACGUUCCAUCCGAUGGAGAGUUGAGCACAUUGCUCAAACUACUGGACGAAAUAAAUCAUUCAAACUAUUGGGUUGAUGAUUGCUGCAGAGUUAUCUUGUAUUGUGUUUGAUACAACCAUUUAAGGUCCAUUAGCAUUAAAUUUCCAUUUGAAUUAAUUAUUUUUGGCAUUAUCUAGUAUACUUAUUCAUUCAAUUUGAUUUAUCCUGCCAUCAACUUGCUCAAGCAAAUGAGGGAUAAAUUUUGUAACAACGAAUUGGUUCUUGAAGGUUUUUUUAAUGAGGUUUGCUUUUGUUUUGUUCUGUACAUUCAUUGUGUUCACCAUGUCAAUUUUUUACUGCUAUUUAUCUUUCCUACUGCAUUGUAUGACAUGCUGGAAAGCCCCUUUACUUGCUGUUAUGUAUCUUUCCAAAUUUGUAUUCCCUGUGCUUUUGUUUUGUAGUUGCAGCUAUGAAUAGUUUGGAUUAAUACGUUUAAAUAUUUUAUGCAAUGAUUUUUGCAGGCAGGCUAUACGUUUCUGCAUAUUGGACAUGCAUCCCAUUGAGGUUUUGUCUUUUUAAUACAGUUUAGGUGAGAUGUUCUUCCUACUAACCUUUUACCAGAAUUUUGCAUGUUUACAAUUUGGAAACAGAGGCAGAGGAGCAUUUAUUUUGCUAGAAAUGGAGAUUUCGAGGUAAAGGAUAUCCUUGUUUUCAUUCAGCUCCAACUAGUAAUUAAAUUGUGUUUUUUUUUUUUUUUUUUUUUUUUUUUUUUUUUUUUUCCCUCCCUUCUUUCUCUAAUUUUGCAAUGCUGUCAUUCCAACUGUAAUUAGGCCAUUCAAAGUGAAUGAGGCCCAUAAACAAUUUUGCUUAUAGGAAAAUGGGAAAUGACCACAGCAUUGUAUCAUUAAUUUUAUCUACUUUACGUUUAUUCUAAUCUUAUCUGCUUUAUUUUUAUUCCAAUUGAAUUGCAUUAUUUUGUCUCUUCCAUAAUUGACAGUGCAUAUGUCAUUGCAAGAAUGAAGGAUUUAUUUAAAGAGCAUAGCAACCUAAUUUUGGGAUUUAAUAACUUUUUCGCCAAAAGAUUAUGAUAUAAAAGUUGAUGAGGAUGAGAUGCCACCCAAAAAAAAAAAAAAAAAGAAGUUAAAUUUAGAGAAGCUAUCAAUUGUGUAAACUAGAUAAAGGUAAACUAUGUUCUUUUGCUUUUAAAUUAUGAAAUUCCAUUCUUGCUUCCUAGUGCCUUAAUAGAUAUAACCAUUAACCUGUAUAAAUGAUCACAAAAUAAUGAGCAUGUGUACAAUGGAGAUUUAGGAUUGAUGGGUAGAGAAAAACUUUUUGUAUUUAUUCUCUUUUCAACUUGAUAGGCUAUCUCAAGGUGCCUUGUUGAGAGGAAAGUUGCAAAGUUUCAGGAAAAAACAUCAUUAAGAGGGGAUCAUUUAUUGUAUAGAGCUCUGAUUUGCUUUUAAUUAUUUGAUUUGGAAAUUAUAGUUGCUAUUAUUAUUUGUAGCCAGUAAAUGUACGAGGUUGGUUUUUCAUUUGAUUUUGGUUGUUAUUUAAACUUCUUUCAAGUUCAGGAAUUUAAUGACCAAGGUUAAGUUUAAUCGAUUGAGUUCAUGUUCAAAAUUAAUGCAAUGAAGAGUUCAACACAAGAUUUGUCUCCAUCACCAUCCACCAUCGCCAUCACUACUGUUACUUGUAAUUGUUUAUAGAUGAUUUUAUUGCCUAUGUUACACAAAAUGAUUGUUUUAAGUAUGUACUAAUGACAAUUAUAUGCAUGUAAAGACAAUUAUUGUUUUAUAAAUAUUUAAAGCCUUAGCAUUAUAAGAAUUUGCUAAUUUGCUUUAUA